rnacentral:rRNA from 1 species
AGAGUUUGAUCCUGGCUCAGAAUGAACGCUGGCGGCGCGCCUAAUACAUGCAAGUCGAGCGAGAAGACGUAGCAAUACGUUUGUAAAGCGGCGAACGGGUGAGGAAUACAUGGGUAACCUACCCUUGAGUGGGGAAUAACUAGCCGAAAGGUUAGCUAAUACCGCGUACGCUUCUUGGACUUCGGUUCAGGGAGGAAAGCGCUACCGUGGGUAGCGCGCUCUUGGAUGGGCUCAUGUCCUAUCAGCUUGUUGGUGAGGUAACGGCUCACCAAGGCUUCGACGGGUAGCUGGUCUGAGAGGACGAUCAGCCACACUGGCACUGCGACACGGGCCAGACUCCUACGGGAGGCAGCAGUAAGGAAUAUUGCGCAAUGGGCGAAAGCCUGACGCAGCGACGCCGCGUGGGGGAUGAAGGUCUUCGGAUUGUAAACCCCUUUCGGGAGGGAAGAUGGAAUGGGGUAACCCAUUCGGACGGUACCUCCAGAAGC